CCUACGGGAGGCAGCAGUGGGGAAUAUUGGUCAAUGGACGAGAGUCUGAACCAGCCAAGUAGCGUGAAGGAUGACUGCCCUAUGGGUUGUAAACUUCUUUUAUAUGGGAAUAAAAUGUUCCACGUGUGGGAUUUUGUAUGUACCAUAUGAAUAAGGAUCGGCUAACUCCGUGCCAGCAGCCGCGGUAAUACGGAGGAUCCGAGCGUUAUCCGGAUUUAUUGGGUUUGAAGGGAGCGUAGGUGGAUUGUUAAGUCAGUUGUGAAAGUUUGCGGCUCAACCGUAAAAUUGCAGUUGAAACUGGCAGUCGUGAGUACAGUAGAGGUGGGCGGAAUUCGUGGUGUAGCGGUGAAAUGCUUAGAUAUCACGAAGAACUCCGAUUGCGAAGGCAGCUCACUGGACUGCAACUGACACUGAGGCUCGAAAGUGUGGGUAUCAAACAGGAUUAGAUACCCUAGUAGUC
rnacentral:rRNA from 1 species